GAUGAACGCUGGCGGCGUGCUUAACACAUGCAGGUCGAACGAAGCACCUUGAUUCGAUUCUUCGGAUGAAGAUCUUGGUGACUGAGUGGCGGACGGGUGAGUAACGCGUGGGUAACCUGCCUCAUACAGGGGGAUAACAGUUAGAAAUGACUGCUAAUACAGCAUAAGACCACAGCACCGCAUGGUGCAGGGGUAAAAACUCCGGUGGUAUGAGAUGGACCCGCGUCUGAUUAGGUAGUUGGUGGGGUAACGGCCUACCAAGCCGACGAUCAGUAGCCGACCUGAGAGGGUGACCGGCCACAUUGGGACUGAGACACGGCCCAAACUCCUACGGGAGGCAGCAGUGGGGAAUAUUGCACAAUGGGGGAAACCCUGAUGCAGCGACGCCGCGUGAGCGAUGAAGUAUUUCGGUAUGUAAAGCUCUAUCAGCAGGGAAGAAAAUGACGGUACCUGACUAAGAAGCACCGGCUAAAUACGUG
rnacentral:rRNA from 1 species